UUCGGAUGUCUAACUGCCUUAGAAUGGAC
rnacentral:sRNA from 1 species